AUGAAAGGUGUGUCAUUCCUUCUACAUGCCCUCCUCUUCCUUAGCUUGGGCCUUGCACCCCUAUGUAGCAGGGGAGUCGAAGAUCAAUUUGUCUACUCCGGCUUCACUGGGACAAACCUCAUCCUGGACGGCGCCGCCGUGGUCACAGCAGACGGACUCCUCAAGGUGACCAACGGCACGGUUAACCUCUACGGCCAUGAAUUCCACCCAACCCCCCUGCGUUUCCGCAAGUCGUCCAAUGGUAGAGUGCGAUCCUUCUCUGCGUCUUUCGUGUUCGGCAUCAGCUCUGUCUAUCAUGAGACAAGUGUUGACGGAAUGGCCUUCUUCAUCUCCCCGAGGAACCAUUUCUCCAAUGUGCUUGCAAACCAGUUCCUGGGCCUCCUCAAUGACAAGAACAAUGGUAACUCCAGCAACCAUAUAUUUGCAGUCGAGAUCGACACCUUCCAAAACACUGAGCUGAAGGACAUCAACGACAAUCAAGUCGGUAUCGACAUCAACAGUGUCCGCUCCGUGCAAUCGCGCCCUGCUGGCUUCUAUGAUGAUAUGGGCAUCUUCAGCAACUUGAGCCUAAAUAGCGGUGAAGCUAUGCAGGUAUGGGUGGACUAUGAUGAAGGGGCCACACAGAUUAGUGUGACCAUUGCUCCACUGAGAGUAGUGGUCAAACCAGCCAAACCAUUGGUCUCGGCCACCUAUGAUCUAUCACAAGUACUUGUGGAUCCAGCUUAUGUUGGUUUCUCGUCUUCGACUGGCCCGAUCAGCACACAAUACAUCGUGCUUGGGUGGAGUCUCAGCAUGGAUGGCCCCGCUCCGGUCAUUGACACCGCCAGAUUGCCAAAGCUACCUCAACUUGUUCUGAAGAAUACCCAGUCCAGAGUCUUGAAGAUCGUCCUUCCAAUAGCUACUGCAGCACUGGUGCUUGCUAUGGGAACUGCCAUCGUUCUGAUCAUACGGAGGCGACUAAGGUACACCGAGCUGCGCGAGGAUUGGGAAGCCGAGUUCGGACCACAUCGGUUCUCCUAUAAAGAUCUGUUCCUUGCAACAGAGGGGUUCAAGAACAAGCACCUGCUUGGUACAGGAGGGUUCGGGAAGGUGUACAAAGGAGUUCUCCCGACAUCCAAACUAGAUGUUGCCGUAAAGAAGUUGUCCCAUGAACUGAGGCAGGGCAUGAAGGAGUUCGUCUCCGAAGUUGUAAGCAUUGGCCGCCUUCGGCACCGUAACCUCGUGCAGCUACUCGGCUAUUGUCGAAGAAACCAUGAACUCCUGUUGGUGUAUGACUACAUGCCAAAUAGCAGCCUUGAUAGGUAUCUGUACUGUGAUGAAGAGGGCAAGCGACCCACUUUGGGCUGGGACCAGAUGCGAUCAUCAAAGGUGUUGCAUGUGGCUUGCUCUACUUGCACGAGAAGUGGGAGAAAGUUGUCGUCCAUCGGGACAUCAAGGCGAGCAAUGUGCUCCUGGACAGUGAGAUGA
rnacentral:rRNA from 1 species